UCCGUCUUCGUGGUCCUCAGAUCUGGCAGCCUCCGGCCACAACGCUCCCGGAUCUAACCAACCAAUAGGUGCUCGACGCCGCUCCUGAGGACCGUGUCGGUCUUCUUCGUCUGCUCUCUCUCUCCCUCAACCUCCCACGGCAUGUAUUGGCCCCUUCUGAAACUCCUCAUCCGAGUGGCCACCUGAUGCCGCCGUGUAGAACACGCUCACUCCUGCCUUUGCCCGCCUGUACCAGGAUUUGCUCCUGUGGUUCAAGUUGAAUACCGGGGAGAUGGAGAUGGUGACAUGGCUGGCUUCUGUGGUGGUGAGGUUCAAGUUCUACAACGAGGUGGCCGUUGGGCCUAUCUGAAGAGCAACAAUGUAACGCUUUUGAGCUUAGGUACAAGAAGUCGUAUUUGAAAGGGGACGAGAUGAUGUUCAUCAAAAUGAAACUGAAAAGGAGUGGGAAACAAUACUGGAGGAAUCGUGAUCUAUGGCAAGGGUGAUGAUGUCUAUGGUGAUGAUUGUCAUGAUCUAUAUGGCA